GACGAACGCUGGCGGCGUGCUUAACACAUGCGAGUCGAACGGUGAAGCGCCUUCCUUUUUGGUGGGUGUGGAUGAGUGGCGAACGGGUGAGUAACACGUGAGUAACCUGCCCCCUUCUUCUGGAUAACCGCAUGAAAGUGUGGCUAAUACGGGAUAUUCUGGGUCUGUCGCAUGAUGGGUCUGGGAAAGAUAUUGUUUCGGUGGGGGAUGGGCUCGCGGCCUAUCAGCUUGUUGGUGGGGUGAUGGCCUACCAAGGCGGUGACGGGUAGCUGGCCUGAGAGGGUGGACGGUCACACUGGGACUGAGACACGGCCCAGACUCCUACGGGAGGCAGCAGUGGGGAAUAUUGCACAAUGGGCGCAAGCCUGAUGCAGCGACGCCGCGUGAGGGAUGGAGGCCUUCGGGUUGUGAACCUCUUUCGCCAGUGAAGCAGGCCUGCCUCGUUUGUGGGUGGGUUGACGGUAGCUGGAUAAGAAGCGCCGGCUAACUACGUG
rnacentral:rRNA from 1 species